UUUACCAAGGUGCAGAUAUUAAACAAACAAAGUGAAGAAAACUUUUGUUAGUCCCUUAACCUUUAAACUCGGGAGAAUUUUCCUUCACUUGAAUGGAGGGGCUUAAUUGAUCCUACUCUUUGUUAAUAAGAAAUUUUUAAAAUGGGGAUUAUUGUAUCCAAAGAGAGUCGAAAUCGAACUAAGAAAGUUCAGCAAACUGCAGCUGUCAUGACAGCUUUAAAGUUAGCGUCUAAAGAGUCUAAAGAGUCUACAGAAAAAGACAGCCCCACCACCGACCAAGCACAGGCAGGUCAAACGAGUCAGAUUUUGCAAGAAACGAAAAAUCAUAAGGCGACUGAUGAACAUCUAGAUUUCGACAGGGAGCACACAGCGAACUUGAAUAACGAUAAGUCUUCUAUUACAUAUGGUCUCCCUGAGUUAGACGCGGCAGACCAUCUUGCUUACAGCAGUGGAACUACAGGAUACUGGGACAAAAGUAACAAGGCUGUUAUCGGUAUUCCAUACUUUGGCGCCUGGAAACACAGGGUGGAGAAUGAAGAACUCUGCUCCCUAUGUGGUGUUUAUACUGGUGUUGAAGUCCAUCCUUGCCAUGUCUGUUGUAAAGUAUUUCAUGAGCUCUGCUUAAAGAAGAAAGGUAAACUGUAUGGGAAGACAGAAUUAGAAGCCUUCAGGAAAGCAAACACAGACAAAGGAUGGAGUUGCCAUGAAUGUGAAAGUUUAACAUCUCUAUUAACUGAUGAAGAAAUGCAACAAUUGAUAGAGAAUUUUGAUAGGUUAGAUGUCAAUCAAGAUACACAAAUAAAUGAGGAUGAGUAUGUUCGAUACCAUACAGCCCAGUACAAAGACAUUCACAAUGAAAAAAUGCCAAGCUACAUGGAAGAGGAGACACACAAUGAGUUUAAACAAAUAGACAAGGAUCAUACUGGUACUAUUGACUGGUGGGAAUUCCUUAACCAUCAGGCUCUUAAAAGUAUUGCAACAAACAGGAGUAAGUUUCAGUUAGUAAGGAUGUUAUCACCUCUUGAGAUACAAAAGGCCAGAGAUAUUUUUCAUGCAUUUGAUAAGGAUGAAGAUGGCUACAUCAAUUCCCAUGAGGUUGCUGUUGGGUUUACCAGAUGGUUUGGCAACUUGAGGCUACGUGACCACAGCAGUACAGGAACAGGAGAUGGAAGCAGUUCAUUUGGAAGACCUCUUGAUCCAAAGGAUGUUUCUGGGCACAUUGAUCGUCACUCAAGAAUAUUCAUGGAUGCUGAUACUGAUAAUAACAGACUGGUUUCCUGGGAUGAGUAUUUAAGAGAGCAGGCUCUGUACAUUUUAGCUGCAAGACCAAAUUCAAGUAACUAGUUGUUGUGGUGGACACAAGACUCACACUAGUGAUACAGUCUGUUGCCGUUUCCAGUCAGCUCAGAUCGCAGUCACUUUUACUUCUGUCCGCUUAACGACUGGUGACUAAAAGGAGGAGAGAGGUUGGGCGAUAGCUGAGCGAUGAUUGGACAGUGCGGUCUUCUGGGAAC
rnacentral:misc_RNA from 1 species